UGGUUCUGGCAUCGAUGAAGAACGCAGCGAAAUGCGAUAAGUAAUGUGAAUUGCAGAAUUCAGUGAAUCAUCGAAUCUUUGAACGCACAUUGCGCCCUUUGGUAUUCCGAGGGGCAUGCCUGUUCGAGCGUCAUUUAAACAAUCAAGCACAGCUUGGCCUUGGACCUGGGCCCCGAGGGCGCCCGGUCCGAAACCCACAGACGGCGUUCCCGUCGAGUCUUGAGCGUAGCAAAAGUUACCACCGCUUCAAAGGCUCAGGCGGGAGCGGCCCCGAGAGUUACCCCCAAAGUUUGACCUCGGAUCAGGUAGGGAUACCCGCUGA
rnacentral:misc_RNA from 1 species